GAUGAAGAACGUAGCGAAAUGCGAUACGUAAUGUGAAUUGCAGAAUUCAGUGAAUCAUCGAGUCUUUGAACGCACAUUGCGCCCCCUGGUAUUCCGGGGGGCAUGCCUGUCCGAGCGUCAUUGCUGCCCUCAAGCACGGCUUGUGUGUUGGGCCUCCGUCCUCCUCCCGGGGGACGGGCCCGAAAGGCAGCGGCGGCACCGCGUCCGGUCCUCGAGCGUAUGGGGCUUUGUCACCCGCUCCCGUAGGUCCAGCUGGCAGCUAGCCUCGCAACCAAUCUUUUUAACCAGGUUGACCUCGGAUCAGGUAGGGAUACCCGCUGAACUUAAGCAUAUCAAUAAGCGGAGGA
rnacentral:misc_RNA from 1 species